rnacentral:rRNA from 1 species
AGAGUUUGAUCCUGGCUCAGAUUGAACGCUGGCGGCGUGCCUAACACAUGCAAGUCGAGCGGUAACAGGUGUAGCAAUACAUGCUGACGAGCGGCGAACGGGUGAGUAAUGCUUCGGAAUCUACCUUAUGGUGGGGAAUAACUAGCCGAAAGGUUAGCUAAUACCGCAUACGUCCUACGGGAGAAAGCAGGGGAUCGCAAGACCUUGCGCCAAAAGAUGAGCCGAAGUCGGAUUAGCUAGUUGGUAGGGUAACGGCCUACCAAGGCGACGAUCCGUAGCUGGUCUGAGAGGACGACCAGCCACACUGGGACUGAGACACGGCCCAGACUCCUACGGGAGGCAGCAGUGGGGAAUAUUGGACAAUGGGGGAAACCCUGAUCCAGCGACGCCGCGUGUGUGAAGAAGGCCUGCGGGUUGUAAAGCACUUUUAGUGGGGAUGAAAUGUGCAGGGCUAACACCUCUGCAUUUUGACCUAACCCACAGAAAAAGCACCGGCUAACUCUGUGCCAGCCGCCGCGGUAAUAC